rnacentral:rRNA from 1 species
CAGUAGCCACGGGAAUACGAGGGGAGCUAGCGUUGUUUGGAAUUACUGGGCGUAAAGCGCGCGUAGGCGGCUUUUUAAGUCAGAGGUGAAAGCCCGGGGCUCAACCCCGGAAUUGCCUUUGAAACUGGAAAGCUAGAAUCUUGGAGAGGUCAGUGGAAUUCCGAGUGUAGAGGUGAAAUUCGUAGAUAUUCGGAAGAACACCUGUGGCGAAGGCGACUGACUGGACAAGUACUGACGCUGAGGUGCGAAAGCGUGGGGAGCAAACAGGAUUAGAUACCCGAGUAGUCCCUGUCUCUUAUAC